ACUAUGGAGAGUUUGAUCCUGGCUCAGGAUGAACGCUAGCGGCAGGCCUAAUACAUGCAAGCCGAACGGCAAGCCGGCCAGCAAUGGCCGGCCUAGAGUGGCGCAAGGGUGCGUAACACGUAUGCAACCUGCCCGCGACAGGAGGACAGCUCCCCGAAAGGGGAAUUAACCCUCCAUGGGACCACGCGAGGGCAUCCGAGAGUGGUUAAACCAAAAGGGGUCGCGGAUGGGCAUGCGGAUGAUUAGCUGGUUGGCGGGGUAACGGCCCACCAAGGCUGUGAUCAAUAGGGGAACUGAGAGGUUUAUCCCCCACACUGGCACUGAGAUACGGGCCAGACUCCUACGGGAGGCAGCAGUAGGGAAUAUUGGACAAUGGGCGAGAGCCUGAUCCAGCCAUGCCGCGUGCAGGAAGAAGGCCUUCUGGGUCGUAAACUGCUUUUGCCGGGGGAUAAAAAGCCCCUGCGGGGGAAAUUGAAGGUACCCGGUGAAUAAGCCACGGCUAACUACGUGCCAGCAGCCGCGGUAAUACGUAGGUGGCAAGCGUUGUCCGGAUUUAUUGGGUUUAAAGGGUGCGUAGGCGGCCCCCUAAGUCAGUGGUGAAAUACGGCAGCUCAACUGUCGAGGUGCCAUUGAUACUGCGGGGCUUGAGUAUGGACGAGGUGGGCGGAAUUGACGGUGUAGCGGUGAAAUGCUUAGAUAUCGUCAAGAACACCGAUAGCGGAGGCAGCCCACUAGGCCAUAACUGACGCUGAGGCACGAAAGUGCGGGGAUCAAACAGGAUUAGAUACCCUGGUAGUCCGCACAGUAAACGAUGAUUACUCGAUGUUGGCGAUACACAGCCAGCGUCUUAGCGAAAGCGAUAAGUAAUCCACC
rnacentral:rRNA from 1 species